CCCCUCCCCCCCCCUCCCCCCGGCACCUCCGCCCGAACGGCCGCGGGCGGCGCGGGACAGCGGGAAGGCGCGCGAGGGGCCGGGAGUGGAGCGGGUGGGGCUGGAUGUGUGCUGCAGUGACCGGACGAGCACAAAGCUGGGGGAAAAGUGAAGGGAAAAGUGUCCCGGUGACAGCUCUCUGCUCCGCUCUGAGCGGGAGAGCCUUUCCCGAGCGAUUUUCAGUGCGCGGUGCAAUUCGUCUGUCUUUUUAAGCCUAGUUACCGCUGAAGAUAUCUUUUCCUGUGCUGGAGGCAGCUCCUGCUGCAUCACUGCUGCCCGGCUCUGCUGCGGGGGGGCUCAGGAGCGAGUGCCACAGAAGGAAGACGGCAGAUAACGUAUAGCACGUGUAACGAUUCACGUUAGUUACUUUGCGAGGGAUAAAAAGAAGCUUUUCUAAUAGGGUAACAGACAUGAAAACGCAGAGCUUUGGAACAGGUGCUCACAGAAAUAGGAGAGCCUCCCCACCUGGAAGUAUUGAGGAGACAUGUGGAUGUGGCACCGAGGGACCUGGUUUAGUGACUGGAAUCGAUUGCCUUUAGUAAAAGUGCCCGAGUAGCUGUGCUUAACUUGUUUAGAUUCAACCUGAAAUGAAUCAGGAGCUGAUGGUAUAAGAUGCUAUUUAGGCAUGAGACCAAACCUCCCACCGAUUCAACUUAAACUCUGGAAUUGUUUGUUUCUGCUGUGGAGCAUCAAUGAAGUACGCAGCCAUGCAGUCAUUUCUCCGAACAUUCACAGACGAAGACUUGCUGUUCCAUAAAACUGCCAGUAUUUUAACAGGAAGAAGGAUGCCCUCUGUGCUGUAGAUAUUCAGAACUGCUCUCUGGUGAUCACUUGCUACUAUUUCAUUGUGUAAGAUGUCUCAGCAGUGCAAGUUUCCUCCAUGGACCUACCACCUGAAAGUCUGGCUUUUUGAAGGAGCAGUGAAAGAGACUGCGAAGUAUCUUCUUACAGAUGAAUGGUUUUCCUCCUGAUUUCAGUCCAAAACCAGGACAGCAGUCCUCCCUCAAUCACUUUAAAAUUUCUCUUGAGACCAAACGUGGGAAAUAUGGGUUUGAAAAGUAGGCUGUCACCUGGAAGUGAUGGACAUAAAUGUUAUAAGUCUCACCAUCACCCCAGCAAUGUGAUUCUAUAGGAACAUUUGCAGUCAGUGGGGGACUCUAUCCACAAAGCAUCUUCUGAUGGAGGAACAAAAUCAAGAGAUGGAUGAGCACAAAGGAAAAAGAAGUCCUGUACUUCUUAACUUUCUAGUGCAGCAGUCCUGGCAAAGACUGCAAUGCAUGCUCAUUUCAUUACCCUGCCCAGUGUGCUUUGAUCUCGUAUGGUUGUCCCCAGAUUAUAAAUCCUGAGGGACCAUUGAAUCAUCUGAUCUGACCUCUUGUGUGUUUGCAGGCUAUUAAAUUUCGUUCAUUACCCUUGUAUUGAUCUGAAGGUCUUUUGCCUGGCUACAGUUUGUGUUCCAGUGAUGCCUGUGGUAUUGAUCUGAAGACAUGAAAAGACUGAAUUCAUCAUUUCCACUAUUAUUGGUUUAAAUAUUAUCCCAUUCUCCCUAUUAAUUUUUUCUCCUUAUUUCUAAUUUUAUUUUGUCUCAUUUCAGUUUCGAGCCAUUAGGUUCCUGUUGGGAUUUUCGAUCCUAAACUGCAGAACAUUUCAAGCACUGCUUUCUUCUUGUGUGAAUGUUGGACCCAAAGGUAGUAACAGACUCAAAACGAGAGCCUUUGUUUCUCUCUAAAAUCCAUUUUCUGAUGCUCUCAAAUGAAUUCUGUUUGUUUUCUUUUUAACAGAUUCUCCAUUUUUCCUGCAUGUGUUUUUAAAAUACAGAUAUCUCACCUUUCUAUUGUGUUACUGUAUCAGUUUCAUGAUGUUUUAUACAAGUGUAAAAUCAUUGCCCACUCCUAAUCUAUGCUUCUUUAGAGAACUGUAUGCAAGAAGGUUCUCCUUCACCAGAAGAAAAUUUGCAGCUUUAUAGAGGUUUAUAAUUUUCUUUUAUUUGGGAGUUCUUAAUUUUUCACGAAGCAAAUUAUCAGAUGAAACGUAUGUAUCAAUCAGAGUAUACAUUUUCAUUUCUUCAGCUGCCAUCCUUCCACGAAGAUCUUGGUUUUGAUAAAUUCAGCACUUCGGUCAGGAUGACGAAAAGCUGCUCUGCUCCUUGCUUCCAAUACAGAGACUGCACCAUCCCUGCUUAUACAGCACUGCAGCCAGAGCUCAUUCAUAACUGAUUGUCACCUAUGGGCUCUAGAUCUUUCACAGUCACUGCUCUGUAGCCCCACAGCUAUUCAGAGGGACCUGCACUGCCCCUUCCUAGAUGAGUAAUGUGAGCACGUAUGGAUGUUUUCUGUUUGCAAAGCGCUCUUCUCAUCAGGCUACCCAUAUUCCUCUAUGACAUCUCUUCUCAUCUGUGAAUUUUAUCAGUUUUUGAUUCUGUCUGCAAAUUUUGCACCUGCUGGGAUGAUAGCAGACAUGGCUCUUUGUUUGCAGUGUAUCUUCAAUGCUUGCUGCUUUGGCAAGCAUUACCACCCAUCAUUGAAACUCUUCACCGGACUCUCAUGUAGUAAGGAGAACCACUGGUCCCUCAUAUUUCAUAUGUGCUAUGUUUGUGUGUCCUAUCUGGUGCCAGCUCCUAAAGGUAUGGCUACCAAAACAUAAAGAAAAUCUCUUUCUGAAUAAGCAAAACUGGGGAAAAGCUCUUCUGCCUGCAGGACUGAGGAAGCUCUUAGGUAUUUAUAAGGAAUUGAUCAGAUGAAACUUGAAGUGAAAGGGCACCUUAGGCAGACUUUGGCCUCCAAGAAUAGAUAGUUGUUGCCAAAAAAGCCCGCACACUGUGACCACCACGUCCCAGCAAAAGAAUUUGCUGGGGAAGGGGCACACUAGAUUCUGCAACUGGAUAGUUCCCAUCAGCUGGGAAGAAAGUAGGCGGGAGCCAAGGCUGGGGCACUGCCCCCUCCCCAGCAGCCGUGGUUACUGUCAGUAGCUACCUUGAAGCUGAUACUUACAGACAACAGGAGAAAAUAGGGACAAAGCUGAACCCCUCAACGUAGGUGUCUGAAAGUGUUUAUCUGUAUGAUGGAGCCUGGCGCAACAGUCUUUGGAGCAACUGAAAUUCUGGACCUGCUGGACGGAAGCAGUGCUGAAGCAGCCCUUAGCCUUGCAGUUGCUCGUCCAGCACUGGGGAGAAGUCAACUCAACUGUCAAGAAAGAAAUACUGGAGACUUAUCAUGGAGCAGACCACGUUUGCACUGUAAUUUUUCUGUUGUUUAGAAAAACAUUUGAAGCAAUUCUUGUCUUCCUGCAGACUGAAUUUUCACAUGGACAGACAGUGAUAGGAAAAGGGAGAAUGGCUUUUCAUUAAAAAAAGGUGAAUUUUAGGUUGGAUGUUAGGAAGAAUUUUUUUAUUUGGAGAAUGACAAGGCAGUGGCACAGGCUGCCCAGAGGAGGUGUGGAUGUCCCAUCCCUGGAGACAUCGAAGGCCAGGUUGGAUGGGGCCCUGGGCAGCCUGAGCUGGUGGGUGGCAGCCCUGCCCAUGGCAGGGAGGUUGGGACCAAAUGAUCUUUAAGGUCUCUUCCAACCUAAGCCCUUCUAUGAUAUAGCUGAAACAUUAAUGACAAAGUAACGUAUAUUUUAAUUUGUAGACUAGAUGGUAGAUUGCAUAAUAAUCGCAGUAAAAUUACUGUAGUUCCAUGUUGCCUGCAUUUAAUAAUCAAUGCAGGCUGACUACUACAUGACUAUUACAGUAUAGAUUCCACAGAGUUAUUGUAUCUGGAAUCUAAAAAUAGGCAUUAAGUACAAAGAUGAGUGAUUAGAAGGUCACUCAGACAACCUCCAACUUGUAGAGUUUAUAUGCUCAGGAAAGUACCACCAUUGUGAAACCACAAUGGCUCGACAUAGCCUUAAAACAAAGUUUUGCAGUGUUCUGAAAUGCACAUUUAGCUAAAGGACAUGAAAAUCUGUCUAGUUGUAUUUACUUUAUGGCUAGAGUACAAAAUACUAAUGCAAGUUGCUGUUUCCAUGUAUUCAAAAAAAAAAAAAAAAAAAAGAAAGAAAGAAAAAAAAAUCAAUAUCAGUUCUCUAAGUAGUCAUUGUGGGUCUACAAACCCAGGAUUGAAAACCUGCCUGACCGCAAAGUGUAUAGAAUUUGGAUUUAUACAUUUUCCAUGUCAUACCACAGUCUCAGAAAGGUAGAAUGAAACAUAGAAAGGAUAGUAGGAGACUUCCACAUGAGUCCCAAGAUCAGGGAAAAAUACCAAAAUAGUAAUGAUUGUGUAGAACGGCCUUCUGUGCUCCAGUCUGUCUCUCAAAUAAACUUACGCAGUGAUUUCUCCAUCUAGCUCGGACUUUAGUUUGAACCAUAACAUAUCAUUCUAUGAGACAUUCACUCCUGGCUUAAAAGCUCAGAAAGUUACUCUCCGUUUUGAAAUGGAAGAAUUUCUGGACUGAGUUUGUCUGCUUACAGCUUCCUGCCGUUGGGUCAUGUAACUUUUUUUGUUUGAUUGAAGACUUGCUAGCUGUGAAAUGUCUCCUUUGUAUUACAGUUCUUUUAUACUGUGAUAAAACCACCUAUUACCAUUUUCUUGGGUAAUCAAAAUAGAUGAAACUCUAGAUUUUCUUACCAGAGGAUGUUUCCUAAGCCAGAUCAUUCUUUUCUGGCUCUCAUUUAGCUCCUAAAUAAUAAAAUAUCCCUCAUAUUCCCAUCUCUAGGCACCAUAGCAGGAAUAAUCAAUGCCUGUGGAUUAUCCUACCCAUUGGCCCUGGAGCAAUGAGCCUGGCCUGGCCUUGCCACUGGGCAUGGGAUCAGCACAGGAGAACCAGAAGCUGUAAGGGUAGACCAGCC
ensembl:lncRNA